UAUAACAAUAAGUCUUGAAAACCCAAGACUUAAAAAACUUUGUCAAGCAGCUUGAAAAACUUGGAGCAAAAUGAAUAAAGUUCUUGUGAUCUGCUUUAUACUCACUGCAGUGGUCGUCGUAAUAGAAAGCAGCCCAUUCUUAAAACAAAUAAAAUCCCAAGGCGAUUCUGAUCUGAAACACACACAACAUGAUGACUCUAAUGAUGGCGGCUUAGAUGGUGGUUCUAAAAGCUCACAACAUGAUGACUCUAAUGAUGGCGGCUCAGAUGGUGGUUCUGUAAG